GACUUCUUUUUUAGAUCUUGCUCCAAGAAGAUAAAUAAUUCAACAUCGAGGUCAUAAUCUUUUUCUUUUAUAAGAACUUUAAGAAAAAAUUGUGCUGUUAUCCCUACGGUAACUUAGUUGAAUCUCAAAUCGAGGAUGGAGAGAAAAAUGAAUAAAAGAUUUAGUUUUUUACCGCCCCAGUUCAACAGGAGUGAAGUUCGAUAGGGUCUUGUCGUCCUUCUUUGUUAUACAAGUCUUUUUACUUGAAAGAAAAGUUAGAAUAUUCCAGAUAAUAAAGAAAUUUAUAUGUCAAACCUUUCAUUCUAGCCUUCAAUUGAAAGGCAAAUGAUUACGCUACCUUAGCACAAUAAAAUUGCGGCUAUUUAAUAAAUCAUUGAGCAGGCCCUACUGAAUACUAGUUCAUUCAGAAAUGUUUUUGAUAAACAGACAAUAAAUAUAUAGGCCGAGUUCAUGAAUCUGGAUGUAGAUCAUAGUUGUAUGGAAAUGCUUUAACAAAAGUUGAUUAGAUAAUUUUUACUAAUAAGAUCAUUGUGAAAAUUUUUAGGAGAGCUUCUUUUAAAAAAAUUUGGGGGGGGAUAAUGAAAAAGUUUUUAAACUAGCUAGACACUGUUAAUCCUUAAGGUUUAGGGGUAAGCGGGGAUAAAUUUGUGAAAAGGAUUGUCCCUUUUUAAAUUUUAGUACUCUUACUUUUAAAGGAAACCAGAUAUCAAUGAAUGCGGGUGGAAUUUCAUCUCUAUGUUCACCUUAAAAAGCUUUAUGAAACAAGCUUGAAGGGAAAAAAUAGAUCAUUUCAAUUUCGGGAGUAUUCGUUAAGAAGAAUAGAUUGAUUUUCCCUGAUACUAAAGGUACAAAUAUUUUCUGUUUGAUAAUUGAAACGUUGUUCCCCUCACGGUUGCAGAACACUAAAAAAGAAACAGAAAGAAAGAAAUAUUUAUUUAAAUAAAUAUUAAAAAUUAAAGGGUGUAGU
rnacentral:rRNA from 1 species